GCUGAGAUCAUUCUCGCCGUGGCGAUGGCUCGGAGCAGUGAUGCUGGGCGUCAGUCACCGCAGGAAAAUCAGUCAUACUAUGAAUAUCAUCAAAUAGGAAACGGACAAGUACCGAUCCAAAUGCAGCCUUUUCCACAACAGACUAUGGUGGCAAUUCCGAUCACUGGAGCCAACCAUACGAGUGGUGGCAUCCAACAGCCUCAGCGCAUGUAGUUACGGAAAGUUUGUCUGCUUGCUCAGUGACCGU